rnacentral:rRNA from 1 species
UACGAAGGGUGCAAACGUUGCUCGGAAUCAUUGGGCGUAAAGCGCACGUAGGCGGCUCCACAAGUUGGAUGUGAAAUCCCUCGGCUCAACCGAGGACGUGCAUCCAAAACUGUGGAGCUUGAGUACUGAAGAGGAUCGCGGAAUUCCCGGUGUAGAGGUGAAAUUCGUAGAUAUCGGGAGGAACACCAGUGGCGAAGGCGGCGAUCUGGGCAGAUACUGACGCUGAGGUGCGAAAGCGUGGGGAGCAAACAGG